rnacentral:rRNA from 1 species
UACGUAGGGGGCAAGCGUUGUCCGGAUUUAUUGGGCGUAAAGAGCGCGUAGGCGGCUAGGUAGGUCCGUUGUGAAAACUCGAGGCUCAACCUCGAGACGCCGGUGGAAACCAUCUAGCUAGAGUCCGGAAGAGGAGAGUGGAAUUCCUGGUGUAGCGGUGAAAUGCGCAGAUAUCAGGAAGAACACCCGUGGCGAAGGCGGCUCUCUGG